rnacentral:rRNA from 1 species
UACAGAGGGUGCGAGCGUUGUUCGGAAUCAUUGGGCGUAAAGAGCGUGUAGGCGGCCAGAUAAGUCCGCUGUGAAAUCUCGAGGCUCAACUUCGAGCUGUCGGUGGAAACUGUCUGGCUAGAGUCCGGAAGAGGAGAAUGGAAUUCCUGGUGUAGCGGUGAAAUGCGCAGAUAUCAGGAAGAACACCCGUGGCGAAGGCGGUUCUCUGGGACGGUACUGACGCUGAGACGCGAAAGCGUGGGGAGCGAACAGG